AUUGAGCGCUGGCGGCAUGCCUAACACAUGCAAGUCGAACGGCAGCACGGUCUAGUUUACUAGAUGGGUGGCGAGUGGCGCACGGGUGAGUAAUACGUAGGAAUAUACCUUAAAGAGGGGGAUAACUUGGGGAAACUCAAGCUAAUACCGCAUAAUUUCUAAGGAGGAAAGCUGGGGACCAUUUGGCCUGGCGCUUUAAGAUUAGCCUACGUCCGAUUAGCUAGUUGGUAGGGUAAAGGCCUACCAAGGCGACGAUCGGUAGCUGGUCUGAGAGGAUGAUCAGCCACACCGGGGCUGAGACACGGCCCAGACUCCUACGGGAGGAAGCAGUGGGGAAUAUUGGACAAUGGGGGCAACCCUGAUCCAGCGAUGCCGGGUGUGUGAAGAAGGCCUACGGGUUGUAAAGCACUUUCGGUGGGGAGGAGGGCUUAUAGGUUAAGAGCUGAUAAGUUGGACGUUACCCACAAAAGAAGCACCGGCUAACUCCGUGCCAGCCGCCGCCGUAA
rnacentral:rRNA from 1 species